CCUACGGGAGGCAGCAGUGGGGAAUAUUGGACAAUGGGGGGAACCCUGAUCCAGCGACGCCGCGUGAGUGAAGAAGUAUUUCGGUAUGUAAAGCUCUAUCAGCAGGGAAGAAAGAAAUGACGGUACCUGACUAAGAAGCCCCGGCUAACUACGUGCCAGCAGCCGCGGUAAUACGUAGGGGGCAAGCGUUAUCCGGAUUUACUGGGUGUAAAGGGAGCGUAGACGGCGAUGCAAGUCUGAAGUGAAAGGCGGGGGCUCAACCCCUGGACUGCUUUGGAAACUGUAUGGCUGGAGUGCAGGAGAGGUAAGUGGAAUUCCUAGUGUAGCGGUGAAAUGCGUAGAUAUUAGGAGGAACACCAGUGGCGAAGGCGGCUUACUGGACUGUAACUGACGUUGAGGCUCGAAAGCGUGGGGAGCAAACAGGAUUAGAUACCCCAGUAGUC
rnacentral:rRNA from 1 species